AUGGACAUGGAGUUCGACACGGAGCUGCAGGCAUACGACCUCUACCGCCUCUACGCCUUCAAGCUCGGCUUCAACGUCCGCCGCCGCUACACCAACCGCAGCAAGACCUCCGGCGAGGUCACCUCCUGCAAGUUCGCCUGCUCCCGCGAGGGCUUCAAGGACCACAAGCCCGCCGCCGCCAUCGCCAGCACCGCCAAGCUCCCCCGUGCCGCCGCCAGGCUCUCCCGCGCCGCGGCCAUCCCCGCGCCGGACGGCAGGACCGGCUGCAACGCGCACCUCACCCUCCGCCGCACCAAGCCCGGCGGCCACUUCCAAGUCUCCGCCUUCCAGCCGCGCCACAACCACCCGCUCUUCGCCGCUCCCCGCGGCCCGCCCAGCCCCUUCCACUCGCCGCCCAAUGCCGCUCCGCCGCCGGAUUUCAUUGACGACGAUGCUACAGCCGGGGCGGCAUGCGCCGAGGGAGACGGCCCCUUGCGCACCAGGCGGCAGUGGGAGAUCAAGUAUGGGGAGGCCGCCGCCCUGCUCAACCACCUCCAGCGGCAGUCGCUGGCCGACCCGGGGUUCCAUCACGCCAUGCAGCUCGACGUCGAGGACAAGGUGGCGAACGUCUUCUGGGUCGACGCCAAGAUGGUCGCCGACUACGCCCACUUUGGCGACGCCGUCGCCUUCGACGUCGUGUCCAGGAACAGCAUCAGCCUCCGCCACCUCGCCUCGUUCGUCGGCUGCAACAGUUUCGGCGAGCCUGUCGUCUUCGGGCUGGCGCUCAUGUACGAUGAGUCCUGCGAGUCGUUCCGGUGGCUGUUCCAGACGUUCCUGCACGCCAUGUCUGGGCGAGCACCCAAGACCUUCAUUUCGCAUCAGGAUACGGUAAUAGCAGAGGCCCUGUCCUUGGCGAUGCCUGGCACGACGACGACCCAUGCCAUAUGCGCAUGGCACAUAAAGCAUGUUGCAAAGGGGAACAUACGUCAGCUUUCUAAAGGCGAUGCCAGUUUCAUCGAGGAGUUCAAGGCGUGCGUCGACGGAGAGUAUGGCGAGGAGGCAGGAUUUCUCGCUGCAUGGGAUGCUAUGAUCAGCAAGUACGAGCUUCGUGACAACGCGUGGUUGCAGAGGCUGUUCGAGGAGAAACACAAGUGGGCUAGGCCCUACACGAAAGGGAUCUUCUCGGCUGGAAUGGAAGGCACACGGUUGAACGAGCGCCUGAGUUCCGAGGUGCGCAGUCAUCUGAGAGCAGAGGUGGACAUUGCUCUGUUUUUGAGGCAUCUUCAGAAAGUGAUCAGCGAUAGGCGGCACAGAGAGUUGGAGAUGGAAUACGGUUCAAGGUUGAUGAUGCCCUACCUCAAAAUCAGAGCUCCUGUUCUGACACAGGCUUCCGAGGUCUAUACCAGCGUGAUCUUUCAGCUUUUCCAGGAAGAAUAUGAGGAGUUCCAGUCAGCUUACAUCGUGAGCCGUGAUGAGAGCGGCCCGUGUCGUGAGUAUGUCGUCUCGCUUGUGGAGAAGGAGGACUGUCGAUACACGGUUUAUGGGAACCCUAUGGAGCAGACUGUCGCAUGCUCGUGCGGGAAGUUUGAGAUGGUUGGCUUCCUGUGCAGCCAUGCUCUCAAGAUUCUAGAUGUUAUGGACAUAAAGUAUAUACCAGAUAGGUACAUCAUGAAGCGCUGGACCAAAUAUGCAAGGCGUUUGACCUCCUCUUCACUGGAGGUUCCUGUUCCUGGGCAAGCCGUUCAAGAAGAGGAAUCAUUGGAGAUUUCUUCUAAUCGCUACCAGCACUUGUGCCCCAAGUAUGUUCGGCUUGUUGCCCGGGCAUCAGAAUGUGAGGAGUCCAGCAGAGUACUAGACCAAUUUUGGGGAGAACUUGGCGACAAGGUUGAGCAAAUCCUGCAGAAACAAACCAGCGUUAGCAGCGCACCUGUGACACUACAGCCUGAUGUUCAGAAUCUUAAGAUGGCCUUGUCUUCCAUCACGGAUGGCACUGAAUCAGAAAAUGUUCUGGACAUAUCAAGCAGGGCAGUGGCAGAAACAGUAAAGAAGAAAGGCCAGAAAAGUAAAAACCAUCCAAGAAAUUGCGUUGAAAAGGGUCUGACAAAGAAGCAGAAAGUGCACUCAGAAGAACCUGCACUUGUGCAUUAUGGUUUGGCAGAUGGUUCAGCCCAGUCUGGAAAUGCCAUGUUUCAGGGCUUGGAGGCUCCUCCUAACAUGUCCAAAAUGGUUAGCCAAACUCCAACCUAUGUACCUUACAUGGGGACUGACUUUUCAAAUCCCAUGGGGACACUCAACUAUGAAGAGAUGCACCGUGGCGCAAGUCUGGGGUUCACUCUGUUACCUUCUCAGGACCUAGGCUUUGUCGCCUGUCACACUUCUCAGGCGUCAGGUGACAGCCAGCACAACCAGGCCCAAAAUCAGCUGAGUUCACCAAUCUGCAUUCUUCAUUGGUAG
rnacentral:rRNA from 1 species